CUGGGUAGCAGUCAUAAUAUUAGGCUGCUACAGAGGGGGUGGACUUUGAUGUCAGUAUGCUACAAAGGAUGUUGAAGAAAUUGGUUAUGAGAAGCGAUUAUCUUUAUGCCUCCAUGGCGAGCAGCACCGGCUGCAUCUGGCCCCAGCGCAUCUUUGAAAAUUUAGAAUGAUAAAAGGAAUUGGUCAAACUAC